GAUGAACGCUGGCGGCGUGCUUAACACAUGCAAGUCGAACGAAGCACUUUAUUUGAUUUCCUUCGGGACUGAUUAUUUUGUGACUGAGUGGCGGACGGGUGAGUAACGCGUGGGUAACCUGCCUUGUACAGGGGGAUAACAGUUGGAAACGGCUGCUAAUACCGCAUAAGCGCACAGCAUCGCAUGAUGCAGUGUGAAAAACUCCGGUGGUAUAAGAUGGACCCGCGUUGGAUUAGCUAGUUGGUGAGGUAACGGCCCACCAAGACGACGAUCCAUAGCCGAACUGAGAGCAUGACCGGCAACAUUGGGACUGAGACCCGGCACAAACUCCUACGGAAGGCAGCAGUGCGGAAUCUUGCACAACGGGCGAACGCAUGAUGCCGCGACGCCACGUGAGCGAAGAAGUAUUUCGGUAUGUAAAGCUCUAUCAGACGGGAAGAUCAUGACGGUACCUGACUAAGAAGCACCGGCUAACUACGUG
rnacentral:rRNA from 1 species